rnacentral:rRNA from 1 species
GAUGAACGCUGGCGGCGUGCCUAAUACAUGCAAGUCGAGCGAACAGACGAGGAGCUUGCUCCUCUGACGUUAGCGGCGGACGGGUGAGUAACACGUGGAUAACCUACCUAUAAGACUGGGAUAACUUCGGGAAACCGGAGCUAAUACCGGAUAAUAUAUUGAACAGCAUGGUUCAAUAGUGAAAGACGGUUUUGCUGUCACUUAUAGAUGGAUCCGCGCCGCAUUAGCUAGUUGGUAAGGUAACGGCUUACCAAGGCAACGAUGCGUAGCCGACCUGAGAGGUGGACCGCCACCACUGGAACUGAGACUCGGCCCGACCCCCCCGGGGAGGAAGCAGGCGGAACGCUCCGGCAUGGGGCCAAGCCCUGACGGACCACCCCGGCGUGAGAGAUAAUGGUAUUAGAAUCUAAAAACUUUUUUAUGGGGCAAAAAAAAAUGUUAAUUAAACUGUCCCCGUCUGGACGUUCCCUAAUAAGAGGACCCCGGCAACCUCGGGC